rnacentral:rRNA from 1 species
GACGAACGCUGGCGGCGUGCCUAAUACAUGCAAGUCGUGCGGACCUUGUUGAAAGCUUGCUUUUAAAAGGUUAGCGGCGGACGGGUGAGUAACACGUGGGCAACCUGCCUGUAAGACUGGGAUAACGCCGGGAAACCGGGGCUAAUACCAGAUCGUUUUUUCCUCCGCAUGGAGGAAAAAGGAAAGGCGGCUUCGGCUGCCACUUACAGAUGGGCCCGCGGCGCAUUAGCUAGUUGGCGGGGUAAUGGCCCACCAAGGCAACGAUGCGUAGCCGACCGGAGAGGGUGAUCGGCCACAUUGGGACUGAGACACGGCCCAAACUCCUACGGGAGGCAGCAGUAGGGAAUCUUCCGCAAUGGACGAAAGUCUGACGGAGCAACGCCGCGUGAGCGAAGAAGGCCUUCGGGUCGUAAAACUCUGUUGCCGGGGAAGAACAAGUGCCGUUCGAACAGGGCGGCGCCUUGACGGUACCCGGCCAGAAAGCCACGGCUAACUACGUG